CCUUUCAACUAUAUUAUCUUUAUCGCGUUCCAAUGCAUUUCCCUAAAGAAAAGACGAGAAACAGAUGAUGCAGGGAGAGAUGAACAGCAACGCCAAUGGAUUGGCAAGAAUUGCAACUUUAAUCAAAAUAAAUUAUGAAAUGUAUACGCACUAACCUAAAGAUCCUAUGAUGCUGUAGAGAAGACAAUUAUUGAUGGAAAUUCGUG